CAGCACCUCAAGUGGUCAGGAUGAUUAUUGGGCCUAAAGCGUCCGUAGCCGGCUUAGCAAGUCUCCUGUUAAAUUCAGCGACCUAAUCGUUGACCCGCGGGAGAUACUACUAGGCUAGGAGGCGGGAGAGGUCGACGGUACUUCUGGGGUAGGGGUGAAAUCCUAUAAUCCCGGGAGGACCACCAGUGGCGAAGGCUGUCGACUAGAACGCGCUCGACGGUGAGGGACGAAAGCUGGGGGAGCGAACCGGAUUAGAUACCCGAGUAGUCC
rnacentral:rRNA from 1 species